rnacentral:rRNA from 1 species
AAUGAACGCUGGCGGCGUGCCUAACACAUGCAAGUCGAGCGAGAAAGUCUCUUCGGAGAUAAGUACAGCGGCGGACGGGUGAGUAACGCGUGAGAAUUUACCCCUUUAGUGAAGAAUACCUCUGAGAAAUCAGGGUUAAUACUGCAUACGUCCCUACGGGGAGAAAGGUGGCCUCUUUGCUGCCGCUAAAGGAUAAGGCUUGCGUACUAUUAGCUAGUUGGUGAGGUAAAGGCUCACCAAGGCGAUGAUGGUUAGCCGGCCUGAGAGGGUGUACGGCCACACUGGAACUUAGACACGGUCCAGACUCCUACGGGAGGCAGCAGUGAGGAAUAUUGCGCAAUGGGCGAAAGCCUGACG